UACGAAGGGUGCAAACGUUGCUCGGAAUUAUUGGGCGUAAAGAGCUCGUAGGCGGUUUGUCGCGUCUGCUGUGAAAACUGGGGGCUCAACCCCCAGCCUGCAGUGGGUACGGGCAGACUAGAGUGCGGUAGGGGAGAUUGGAAUUCCUGGUGUAGCGGUGGAAUGCGCAGAUAUCAGGAGGAACACCGGUGGCGAAGGCGGGUCUCUGGGCCGAUACUGACGCUGAGGAGCGAAAGCGUGGGGAGCGAACAGG
rnacentral:rRNA from 1 species